AUGAGAGGGUUUCUGAGUCACUGCGGGUGGAACUCGGUGCUGGAGAGCGUCACAGCUGCUGUGCCGCUGGCAGUUUGGCCUAUGCAUGCUGAUCAACCUUUGAACGCAACAUUUGUAGUUGAUGAGCUCAAGAUAGCGGUUAGGGUCCACACGAGUGAUAGAACGAUGCGGGGUUUGGCCACGAGCGAGGAAAUAUCAGAGGUGGUCAGGAAGCUUAUGCUCGGGCAGGCCGGAAUUGAAGCGGCAAAGAAUGUUGCCGGGCUAUCGGCGCUAGCUAUGGAGUCCGUGUUGGAGGGAGGGUCCUCUUGGAAAUCAGUGGAGGAGAUGAUCGGUGAGUUGUGUGCACCCAACAUGCAUGCAAAUGUUGAGCCAAGCAAGGAGGAGUCUUGA
rnacentral:rRNA from 1 species